UGGCUCAGAUGGUAAAGCGUCUGCCUAUAAUGCAGGAGACCCAGGUUUGAGCCCUGG
rnacentral:tRNA from 1 species